AAUGGACGAAAGUCUGACGGAGCACGCCGCGUGAGUGAUGAAGGCUUUCGGGUCGUAAAACUCUGUUGUUAGGGAAGAACAAGUGCUAGUUGAAUAAGCUGGCACCUUGACGGUACCUAACCAGAAAGCCACGGCUAACUACGUGCCAGCAGCCGCGGUAAUACGUAGGUGGCAAGCCUUAUCCGGAAUUAUUGGGCGUAAAGCGCGCGCAGGUGGUUUCUUAAGUCUGAUGUGAAAGCCC
rnacentral:rRNA from 1 species